GCGUCCGCUCGGUCAUCCAGCUCCGAGAGCUUUUGGUCCCUUUCCAGAACCUUGUCCACAUUCACCCUCAUGAUGUCCACCACCUGGCGGUCCGGGACGGAAAAGCAUUUGCUGUUUGUGCUGACUCAGCGGAGGAGGAGGAGGAGGCGGACGGGAGAUAGGAGGAGGUACCGGGAGCUAACGAAGUCUCAACGAUGAACAAAAAAGCAAAGAAAGCAAAGAGUCACGCGGAGUAAACGGCCCUCCAAAAACAGAAGAAGUUUGUCAAAAAAAGCAUCAAAGUGCCGCAGUGCAGCACCCCCCC